CAAUAGCGUAUAUUAAAGUUGUUGCAGUUAAAAAGCUCGUAGUUGGAUUUCUGAACGGAAAAGCCGGUCCGCGCUAUGCGUGUGCACUUGCGCUUUUCUGUUCAUCCUUGCGGAGAACGUGUUCUGAGAUUAAUUUCUUGGGUCCGGGACCCGCAUCUUUUACUGUGAAAAAAUUAGAGUGUUUAAAGCAGGCUUACGCUUUGAAUACAUUAGCAUGGAAUAAUAAAAUAGGACUUUGGUGCUAUUUUGCUGGUUUACCUGACUGCGAGGUAAUGAUUAAGAGGGACAGACGGGGGCAUCCGUAUUGCGGUGUUAGAGGUGAAAUUCUUGGAUCAUCGCAAGACGAACGACUGCGAAAGCAUUUGCCAAGCAUGUUUUCAUUAU
rnacentral:rRNA from 1 species